rnacentral:lncRNA from 1 species
CCCACAGCAUCCGCUGCCCGUGUCCCUGGGAAGGUCCCCACAUCUGAGCGAGGCCCGAGGCCCUGAGGGGUGCUCAACCUCUCCUUGCACACCUCUACUGAUGGAGAGCUCACCACUUCCCAAGACAGCCCUUUGUGGAAGCUAGACUUUGGAAUUAGAGCCCUGGACUGGACACUCGGAUCAGCGUAGGACCCUGGAGAAGCCACUUCGCUCCUCUCCUACGCAUAGGUCUUCCCACACUCAGGUUAAUCGUGGUGGUUGUGGUGAGAAAGAGAGCACUUGUCAGCUGUAUUAAGGCUCAAAUCCAAUCUGAGAACUGGCAUCUGGAAAAAUACAGAGCAAGGGGGCGCUCACUGAGAACCCAGGGACUCUCAGGAAUGAACUGGCCACAAGUCGCAGGCAACGUGCAUCAAAGAAAGACGUGCUCCCAUUGUCCCUCCCCCUCCUUUCUGUCAACAAACAUUCUAGUGCCUUCCAUGGAGGAUACAGAGAGGCCGUCCCCGAUCUCCCGACAAACACCCAAUGCACCCGCCCCUCUGCUCUGUUCCUGCUCAUGUUUCUCCCUAUAGUGCCUGUCACUGUCAGAUGUUUCUCAUUUCUCUCCUUGUUUAUUCGCUGUCCUCUUCUGCAAGACAUGUGCACUCUUCAGGCAGGGGCCCUGUCUGUCUUGUUCUGCACCUGGUUCCCAGUGCCAGCCCGGGGCCUGGGAUACGAGAUACUGAAUAAACGUCUGUUGAAUGGGUUUCUAAAUAAAUGGUGAACAAAGAACUUCCGUCUGGCGGGGAACAGCAGACAAGUAUACGGAUGGUGUCAGUUCAGUGCGGUCAGUGCCAUGACAACAGGCGAACAAGGACUUGAAGGGGUAACACAAGAAGAGGCAGAAACUCUGCCUCAGCCCUGUCCAGGAAGGCUCCCCUCGAGAAAGACCUGAGUUGGGCUUUGAGGGACGAGCAGGAGUUAGGCAGGUGGAUGAGGAAGCUGUGUGUGCAAAGAGCCAGGGCGUCCAGCAAUGGGAUGCAUUUGCAGUAGGACGUGUUUGUUGCG